rnacentral:rRNA from 1 species
GUGCCAGCAGCCGCGGUAAUACGGAGGAUGCGAGCGUUAUCCGGAUUUAUUGGGUUUAAAGGGUGCGUAGGCGGAUUAAUAAGUCAGUGGUGAAAACCUUCAGCUUAACUGGAGGCUUGCCAUUGAUACUGUUAGUCUUGAGUAUGGUCAAGGUAGGCGGAAUGUGUAAUGUAGCGGUGAAAUGCUUAGAUAUUACACAGAACACCGAUUGCGAAGGCAGCUUACUGGUCCAUAACUGACGCUGAGGCACGAAAGCGUGGGUAGCGAACAGGAUUAGAUACCCUGGUAGUCC